rnacentral:rRNA from 2 species
UAGAGUUUGAGCUCGUGUCUGAGUGAGAGCGGGCGCCGCAGGCAUCACACACACAUGGAGAGGGAGCGGACAGGGAGUUUGUUCUUCGGCGGCGAGCGGCGGACGGGUGAGUAAUGUCUGGGAAACUGCCUGAUGGAGGGGGAUAACUACUGGAAACGGUAGCUAAUACCGCAUAAUGUCGCAAGACCAAAGAGGGGGACCUUCGGGCCUCUUGCCAUCAGAUGUGCCCAGAUGGGAUUAGCUAGUAGGUGGGGUAAUGGCUCACCUAGGCGACGAUCCCUAGCUGGUCUGAGAGGAUGACCAGCCACACUGGAACUGAGACACGGUCCAGACUCCUACGGGAGGCAGCAGUGGGGAAUAUUACACAAUGGGCGCAAGCCUGAUGCAGCCAUGCCCCGUUUAUAAGAAGGCCUUCGGGUUGUAAAGUACUGUCAGCGGGGAGGAAGGUGUUGAGGUUAAUAACUCAGCA